rnacentral:tRNA from 1 species
GCCGAAGUGGCGGAACUUGGCAGACGCACUGGACUCAGGAUCCAGGGGGUAAUAGCCCGUGCGGGUUCGAAUCCCGCCUUCGGCACCA